rnacentral:rRNA from 1 species
CACGUAGGGCGCAAGCGUUGUCCGGAAUCAUUGGGCGUAAAGCGCGCGUAGGUGGCUUCGUAAGUCCGUUGUGAAAGUCAAAGGCUCAACCUUUGAAUGCCGAUGGAUACUGCGGAGCUAGAGUACGGAAGAGGCGAGUGGAAUUCCUGGUGUAGCGGUGAAAUGCGCAGAUAUCAGGAGGAACACCAAUUGCGAAGGCAGCUCGCUGGGACGUUACUGACGCUGAGACGCGAAAGCGUGGGGAGCAAACAGG